rnacentral:rRNA from 1 species
AGGCUUUGAUCCUGGCUCAGGAUGAACGCUAGCGGCAGGCCUAACACAUGCAAGUCGAACGGGAUUCUAGACUUCGGUUUAGAUGAGAGUGGCGCACGGGUGCGUAACGCGUAUGCAACUUACCCUUAACAGGGGGAUAGCCCGGAGAAAUUCGGAUUAAUACCCCGUAGUAUUAUUGGAAGGCAUCUUUUGAUAAUUAGAGCUGAGGCGGUUAAGGAUGGGCAUGCGUCCUAUUAGCUAGUUGGCGAGGUAACGGCUCAUCUCAAGGCGACGAUAGGUAGGGGGCCUGAGAGGGUGAUCCCCCACACUGGUACUGAGACACGGACCAGACUCCUACGGGAGGCAGCAGUGAGGAAUAUUGGUCAAUGGGCGCGAGCCUGAACCAGCCAUGCCGCGUGCAGGAUGACGGCCCUAUGGGUUGUAAACUGCUUUUGUACGGGAAUAAACCCUCGCUCGUGAGACGAAGGCUGAAGGUACCGUAAGAAUAAGGAUCGGCGUACAAUCGGAU